UUGCAUGAUGAAUGGCACUGGGCUCCGACAAGCAUGACGGAUAUGCCACAUUGCGGCAGGCCUAGAAAACCUCGCCCACUGAUU
rfam:Macrophomina phaseolina MS6 contig00414, whole genome shotgun sequence.